AUUGAACGCUGGCGGCAUGCCUUACACAUGCAAGUCGAACGGCAGCAUAGAGAGCUUGCUCUCUGAUGGCGAGUGGCGAACGGGUGAGUAAAGCAUCGGAACGUACCGUGUAGUGGGGGAUAACGUAGCGAAAGUUACGCUAAUACCGCAUACGCACUGAGGUGGAAAGCAGGGGAUCGCAAGACCUUGCGCUAUACGAGCGGCCGAUGUCAGAUUAGCUAGUUGGUAGGGUAAGGCCUACCAAGGCGACGAUCUGUAGCGGGUCUGAGAGGAUGAUCCGCCACACUGGGACUGAGACACGGCCCAGACUCCUACGGGAGGCAGCAGUGGGGAAUUUUGGACAAUGGGGGCAACCCUGAUCCAGCCAUGCCGCGUGAGUGAAGAAGGCCUUCGGGUUGUAAAGCUCUUUCGGCCGGGAAGAAAUCGCACAGGCUAAUACUCUGUGUGGAUGACGGUACCGGCAUAAGAAGCACCGGCUAACUACGUGCCAGCCGCCGCAGUAA
rnacentral:rRNA from 1 species